UACAGAGGUGGCAAGCGUUGUCCGGAUUUACUGGGCGUAAAGAGCGCGCAGGCGGUCGUUCAAGUCGCGUGUGAAAGCCCCCGGCUCAACUGGGGAGGGUCACGCGAUACUGAUCGACUCGAAGGCAGGAGAGGGUAGUGGAAUUCCCGGUGUAGUGGUGAAAUGCGUAGAUAUCGGGAGGAACACCAGUGGCGAAGGCGACUACCUGGCCUGUUCUUGACGCUGAGGCGCGAAAGCUAGGGGAGCGAACGGG
rnacentral:rRNA from 1 species